AUUGAACGCUGGCGGCAUGCCUUACACAUGCAAGUCGAACGGCAGCAUGAUCUAGCUUGCUAGAUUGAUGGCGAGUGGCGAACGGGUGAGUAAUACAUCGGAACGUGCCCUGUAGUGGGGGAUAACUAGUCGAAAGAUUAGCUAAUACCGCAUACGACCUGAGGGUGAAAGUGGGGGACCGCAAGGCCUCAUGCUAUAGGAGCGGCCGAUGUCUGAUUAGCUAGUUGGUGAGGUAAAGGCUCACCAAGGCGACGAUCAGUAGCUGGUCUGAGAGGACGAUCAGCCACACUGGGACUGAGACACGGCCCAGACUCCUACGGGAGGCAGCAGUGGGGAAUUUUGGACAAUGGGCGAAAGCCUGAUCCAGCAAUGCCGCGUGUGUGAAGAAGGCCUUCGGGCUGUAAAGCACUUUUGUCCGGAAAGAAAUGGCUCUGGUUAAUACCUGGGGUCGAUGACGGUACCGGAAGAAUAAGGACCGGCUAACUACGUG
rnacentral:rRNA from 1 species